GAUAAACGCUAGCGGCAGGCUUAACACAUGCAAGUCGAGGGGCAGCAUAGAUUGUAGCAAUACAAUUGGUGGCGACCGGCGCACGGGUGCGUAACGCGUAUGCAACCUACCCGUCACAGGGGGAUAAUCCGGAGAAAUCUGGUCUAAUACCCCAUAACAUAUGGAUCGGCAUCGGUUCAUGUUGAAAUUUUCGGAGGUGACGGAUGGGCAUGCGUAGCAUUAGCUUGUUGGUGAGGUAACGGCUCACCGAGGCGACGAUGCUUAGGGGGACUGAGAGGUUUUCCCCCCACACUGGUACUGAGACACGGACCGGACUCCUACGGGAGGCAGCAGUGGGGAAUAUUGGUCAAUGGGCGCAAGCCUGAACCAGCCAUGCCGCGUGCAGGAUGACGGCUCUAUGAGUUGUAAACUGCUUUUGUACGAGGGUAAAGUGGGUUACGUGUAACCUUUUGAAAGUAUCGUACGAAUAAGGAUCGGCUAACUCCGUGCCAGCCGCCGCAGUAA
rnacentral:rRNA from 1 species